rnacentral:tRNA from 1 species
GCAGGUAUAGCUCAAAUGGUAGAGUGUGUACUUAGCAUGCAUGAGUUCCUGGUUUCAAUCCUCAGUACCUCCU